rnacentral:rRNA from 1 species
UACGUAGGGUGCAAGCGUUAAUCGGAAUUACUGGGCGUAAAGCGUGCGCAGGCGGCUAUGCAAGUCAGAUGUGAAAUCCCCGGGCUCAACCUGGGAACUGCAUUUGUGACUGCAUGGCUAGAGUACGGCAGAGGGGGAUGGAAUUCCGCGUGUAGCAGUGAAAUGCGUAGAUAUGCGGAGGAACACCGAUGGCGAAGGCAAUCCCCUGGGCCUGCACUGACGCUCAUGCACGAAAGCGUGGGGAGCAAACAGG